rnacentral:rRNA from 1 species
GACGAACGCUGGCGGCGUGCUUAACACAUGCAAGUCGAACGGAAAGGCCCCUUUGGGGGUACUCGAGUGGCACACGGGUGUGUAACACGUGAGUAACCUGCCCUUGACUUCGGGAUAACUUCAGGAAACUGGGGCUAAUACCGGAUAGGAAUCCUUGCUGCAUGGUGGGGGUUGGAAAGCUUCGGCGGUUUUGGAUGGGCCCGCGGCUUAUCAGCUUGUUGGUGGGGUAGUGGCUUACCAAGGCUUUGACGGGUAGCCGGCCUGGGAGGGCGACCGGCCACAAUGGGACUUGGAUACGGCCCAGACUCCUACGGGAGGCAGCAGUGGGGAAUAUUGCACAAUGGGCGGGAGCCGGAUGCAGCAACGCCGCGGGCGGGAUGACGGCCUUCGGGUUGGAAACCGCUUUCAGCAGGGGCGAAGCUUGUGGUGACGGUACCUGCAGAAGAAGCACCGGCUAACUACGUG